GGAAAAGAAACUAACACGGAUUCCCCUAGUAACUGCGAGUGAAGCGGGAAAAGCUCAAAUUUAAAAUCUGGCAGUCUUUGGCUGUCCGAGUUGUAAUCUAGAGAAGUGUUAUCCGCGCUGGACCGUGUACAAGUCUCCUGGAAUGGAGCGUCAUAGAGGGUGAGAAUCCCGUCUUUGACACGGACUGCCAGGGCUUUGUGAUGCGCUCUCAAAGAGUCGAGUUGUUUGGGAAUGCAGCUCAAAAUGGGUGGUAAAUUCCAUCUAAAGCUAAAUAUUGGCGAGAGACCGAUAGCGAACAAGUACCGUGAGGGAAAGAUGAAAAGAACUUUGGAAAGAGAGUUAAACAGUACGUGAAAUUGCUGAAAGGGAAACGCUUGAAGUCAGUCGCGUUGUCUGGGAAUCAACCUUGCUUUUGCUGGGUGUACUUUCUAGAUAAUGGGUCAGCAUCAAUUUUGACUGUUGGAUAAAGUCUAGAGGAAUGUGGCAUCUUCGGAUGUGUUAUAAUAGCCUUUGGUUGCAUACAACAGUUGGGAUUGAGGAACUCAGCACGCCGCAAGGCCGGGUAAUAUAUACCACGUUCGUGCUUAGGAUGCUGGCAUAAUGGCUUUAAUCGACCCGUCUUGAAACACGGACCAAGGAGUCUAACAUGCCUGCGAGUAUUUGGGUGGAAAACCCGAGUGCGCAAUGAAAGUGAAAGUUGAGAUCCCUGUCAUGGGGAGCAUCGACGCCCGGACCGGAGCUUUUGUGAUGGAUCUGCGGUAGAGCAUGUAUGUUGGGACCCGAAAGAUGGUGAACUAUGCCUGAAUAGGGUGAAGCCAGAGGAAACUCUGGUGGAGGCUCGUAGCGAUUCUGACGUGCAAAUCGAUCGUCAAAUUUGGGUAUAGGGGCGAAAGACUAAUCGAACCAUCUAGUAGCUG
rnacentral:rRNA from 1 species